AAGGAUUUAAGUUAAAAACAAACUAACAACCUUCAAAGUUGUAAACAGAGAGAAAGGCUCUAAGCCUU
rnacentral:tRNA from 1 species